UAGGGAAUCUUCCACAAUGGGCGAGAGCCUGAUGGAGCAACGCCGCGUGUGUGAUGGAGGGUUUCGGCUCGUAAAACACUGUUGUAAGAGAAGAAUGACAUUGAGAGUAACUGUUCAAUGUGUGACGGUAUCUUACCAGAAAGGAACGGCUAAAUACGUGCCAC
rnacentral:rRNA from 1 species